CACUCCUGCGGGAGGCAGCAGUGGGGAAUAUUGGACAAUGGGCGCAAGCCUGAUCCAGCCAUGCCGCGUGAGUGAUGAAGGCCCUAGGGUUGUAAAGCUCUUUCACCGGUGAAGAUAAUGACGGUAACCAGAGAAGAAGCCCCGGCUAACUUCGUGCCAGCAGCCGCGGUAAUACGAAGGGGGCUAGCGUUGUUCGGAUUUACUGGGCGUAAAGCGCACGUAGGCGGACUAUUAAGUCAGGGGUGAAAUCCCGGGGCUCAACCCCGGAACUGCCUUUGAUACUGGUAGUCUUGAGUUCGAGAGAGGUGAGUGGAAUUCCGAGUGUAGAGGUGAAAUUCGUAGAUAUUCGGAGGAACACCAGUGGCGAAGGCGGCUCACUGGCUCGAUACUGACGCUGAGGUGCGAAAGCGUGGGGAGCAAACAGGAUUAGAAACCCCAGUAGUCCCAUGA
rnacentral:rRNA from 1 species